CAUCAGCCCCUGCGGCUCACAGACAAGGCCGCCGCUGCCGAUCGACGGCUCGGCUGAAGCUGCCGUGUGAUAGAAAUAGAAACACACAUUCAUGUGAGCAGCAACACAUUCAGAUGUCACUGUGGGUUUGUCACCAGUAAAAUAAGAGGGCGGAGCGUCAUCGU